GGAGCCCUUCAGCAGGGUCAGGGCCCCUCAUCUUCCCCUCCUUUCCCAG
ensembl:miRNA